UAAGAAUUUAAAAGUCGAACAGACUUAUUAUUAAAGAAUACUACUUCUCAAAAUUUUCUUAAUUCAACAUCGAGGUCGCAAAAUAUAAUAUAGAUAUGAACUCCCCAUUAAAAUUACGCUGUUAUCCCUAAGGUAACUUAAUCUUGUAACCCUUAGAAAAGGAUCUAAAUUUACAUAAAUAAAUGAAAUCAAAAAUUAAAGUUUAAAUUUAAUUGCCUCCCCAGCAAAAUAUUAAUAAACCAAUUAAAAAAUUUAAUUAAUAAAAAUUAAUAAUAGGAAUUCAUAUAAAGUUCUACAGGGUCUUAUCGUCCCAAUAAAUAAAUAAAGCAUUUUAACUUUAAAUUUAAAUUUUAACAUUUAAAGAAAUAAAAUAUAAUUCUCAUACAUCCAUUCAUUCAAGCUUCCAAUUAAAAAACUAAUUACUAUGCUACCUUUGCACAGUCAAAUUACUGCAGCCAUUUAGAAAAUUAAACCAUAGGGCAGAAGGUACUUUUUAUAUAACCA
rnacentral:rRNA from 1 species